GACGAACGCUGGCGGCGUGCCUAAUACAUGCAAGUAGAACGCUGAAGGAGGAGCUUGCUCUUCUGGAUGAGUUGCGAACGGGUGAGUAACGCGUAGGUAACCUGCCUGGUAGCGGGGGAUAACUAUUGGAAACGAUAGCUAAUACCGCAUAAAAUUGAUUAUUGCAUGAUAGUCAAUUAAAAGGUGCAAUUGCAUCACUACCAGAUGGACCUGCGUUGUAUUAGCUAGUUGGUGAGGUAACGGCUCACCAAGGCAACGAUACAUAGCCGACCUGAGAGGGUGAUCGGCCACACUGGGACUGAGACACGGCCCAGACUCCUACGGGAGGCAGCAGUAGGGAAUCUUCGGCAAUGGACGGAAGUCUGACCGAGCAACGCCGCGUGAGUGAAGAAGGUUUUCGGAUCGUAAAGCUCUGUUGUAAGAGAAGAACGAGUGUGAGAGUGGAAAGUUCACACUGUGACGGUAUCUGACCAGAAAGGGACGGCUAACUACGUG
rnacentral:rRNA from 1 species